AAGGAGACGAGCCUUCUCUACCACUAGUACUACAUAUCUGAAGAUUCUGUAAAGAUAUCUUCGUCCCCAACUCAGCGGCAGUGUUUCUUCCCAAGAUGGCCAGCGAUGAGGAUUCGCUGGAUGAUGAAAACCCUGGAUCUUGGAUCGGUCGCCAUAAUACUAUUGAGAAGAGGGAAGAAGCAUCCAACAUGUUCUCAGUUCAUGAUCAUCACCAACGAAGAGUAUGCCUUGACUUCUUAAAGGAAGAAAAUGGCACAAAAACGCCGCCUGUGUGGUGCCAAUUACAAGCGAGC